UACAGAGGUCCCGAGCGUUGUUCGGAUUCAUUGGGCGUAAAGGGUGCGUAGGUGGGCUAGUAAGUCAGUGGUGAAAUCUCCGGGCUUAACCCGGAAACUGCCAUUGAUACUAUCUGUCUUGAAUACCCUGGAGGUGAGCGGAAUAUGUCAUGUAGCGGUGAAAUGCUUAGAUAUGACAUAGAACACCCAUUGCGAAGGCAGCUCACUACGGGAAUAUUGACACUGAGGCACGAAAGCGUGGGGAUCAAACAGG
rnacentral:rRNA from 1 species